AUCAUGAAGGUCAUCACCAUUACCUUCAUCCCAUCAUCACCAACACCACCAUCAUCACCAACACCACCAUCAUCACCGUCACCUCCACCAUCACCAGUAUCACCAUCAUCACUGUCACCUCCACCAUCACCAACAUCACCAUCAUCACUGUCACCUCCACUAUCAUCACAGUCACCUCCACCAUCUUUAGUGUCAUCUCCACCAUCAUGACCAUCACUUCCACCAUCAUCAGUCACCUCCACCAUCUUUACCGUCACCUCCACCAUCUUUACCGUCACUUCCACCAUCAUCACAGUCACAUCCACCAUCUUUACCGUCAUCUCCACCAUCAUGACCAUCACUUCCACCAUCUUUACCGUCACCUCCACCAUCUUUACCGUCAUCUCCACCAUCAUGACCAUCACUUCCACCAUCAUCACAGUCACUCCACCAUCUUUACCGUCAUCUCCACCAUCAUGACCAUCACUUCCACCAUCACAGUCACCUCCACCAUCUUUACCGUCAUCUCCAUCAUGACCAUCACCUCCACCAUCUUUACCAUCACUUCCACCAUCUUUACCGUCACCUCCACCAUCUUUACCGUCAUCUCCACCAUCAUGACCAUCACUUCCACCAUCUUUACCGUCACCUCCACCAUCUUUACUGUCACCUCCACCAUCUUUACCGUCACCUCCAUCUUUACCGUCACUUCCACCAUCAUCACAGUCACAUCCACCAUCUUUACCGUCAUCUCCACCAUCAUCACCGUCACCUCCACCAUCUUUACUGUCAUCUCCACCAUCAUGACCAUCACUUCCACCAUCAUCAGUCACCUCCACCAUCUUUACCGUCAUCUCCACCAUCAUGAUCAUCACUUCCACCAUCAUCACAGUCACCUCCACCAUCUUUACCGUCAUCUCCAUCAUGACCAUCACCUCCACCAUCUUUACCGUCACUUCCACCAUCUUUACCGUCACCUCCACAUCUUUACCGUCACCUCCACCAUCUUUACCAUCACUUCCACCAUCAUCACAGUCACAUCCACCAUCUUUACCGUCACUUCCACCAUCAUCACAGUCACCUCCACCAUCUUUACCGUCAUCUCCACCAUCAUGACCAUCACCUCCACCAGCAUCACAGUCACCUCCACUAUCUUUACCGUCAUCUCCACCAUCAUGACCGUCACUUCCACCAUCAUCACAGUCACUCCACCAUCUUUACCGUCAUCUCCACCACCAUGACCAUCACUUCCACCAUCACCAUCAUCACCACCUUCACUGUCACCUCCACCAUCAUCACCAUCAUUGUUAUCUUCAGCAUCAUUAUCCCUACCAUCAUCAUCAUAACUUCCCUCCCCUUCACCAUCAGCACCCUCCUCCUCCUCACC
rnacentral:lncRNA from 1 species